UACGGGGGGGGCAAGCGUUGUUCGGAAUUACUGGGCGUAAAGGGCUCGUAGGUGGCCAACUAAGUCGGACGUGAAAUCCCUCGGCUUAACCGGGGAACUGCGUCUGAUACUGGAUGGCUUGAGUUCGGGAGAGGGAUGCGGAAUUCCAGGUGUAGCGGUGAAAUGCGUAGAUAUCAGGAGGAACACCGGUGGCGAAGGCGGGUCUCUGGGCCGAUACUGACGCUGAGGAGCGAAAGCGUGGGGGAGCGAACAGG
rnacentral:rRNA from 1 species